UCGUGAAUGAGUUUGUUUCUAAAGGACCAUAUCAACCAUAACGCAUAGCAGAAAAGCCGACACUGGUAAUUGUUGUUGUUCUUGAAAACCCAGGUUAGCCACUCCCAUGUAUUUUGACUCGUAUUCUCCAUGACCCAUGCUAAGUUUAAUGCUUGCCACACUUCUCUUGUAAAAGGACACUCUCGGAAAACAUGAAGACUCUCUUCUACUCCAAAAUAACAUCGUGGACAGCGGGCAGUUGAAUUAACCCUCCUCAACCUGAGAUUACCAAAGUGAGGGAUAUAAUCCCAUGAAAUCCUCCAGAUUGUAAUUGCAAUUUUUGAAGGCAAUUGUAGGCUCCAUAAUUUUUUGUAAAAAUUUCUUAUUUCGGUCUGUAAUAGGUAGUCAUUAGCUGUAGAAGCAUCUUGUAGUAGUUUAUACGCACUACGUACUGAAAACUCACCAGAUAGUUCUCCACUCCACACCUGAAUAUCCUCAUGUUCGGUCUCUGCCAGAGGAAUUUGUAGAAUCUUCCGAGCAGUAUCUUCUUGAAAGGUACUUUUAAUUAAGUCUGACUUCCAUUUUCUACUUGAAUUGUCAAUGAGGUCUGAAACUAACUGUAAUUCUCUUCUGUUUGUGCUAUUAAGCUCAGCCACCUUGUCAAUCCCCUGAAUCCAGUUGUCUUCCCAGAUAGAAAUGCUACUCCCUUUACCAACUCUCCAACCCAAUCCUCUUUGGAGAAGUCCUUUUGCCGCCCAGAUGCUCUUCCAGGUAAAUGAAG
rnacentral:lncRNA from 1 species